CCCUGCACAAGCUUUUUUGCCUGCUGCCAAGUAAGAUGUGCCUUUGCUCUCCGUUUGCCUUCUGCUUGACUGUGAGGCCUCCUCAGCCAUGUGUAAUUAACAUGAAUAUGAUGUUCUUCUAAUAAGGAAAUAUCUGAAAAGCAUCAAGACUGAAAAAAGAAAGGCAUUCCUGUCUGGAGAGAAGAAAAGCUUCCUGAAUUGCUGGUGGGAGGAUUUCCUGGACCAGAAGCAACACAGCAGCAAAAUGGUGGGAAAGCCAUGACUGGUCAGGGGCUCGAUACACAAAUUAAACACCUCCCCUCUCCUGCUCUUUUCCAGACUCCUGCACCCAAGAGGAGUGAACAGAACUGGGAACAAAAGUAGCCAGAGAAUGAGCAGUUUCCUGUGGAAUAUAAAAUGUAUAACUUAUGCAUUGCCUGGAAAUGCCAUAAGAAAUUAAUAUUUGUUACAGAAACAGUGGGGUUGCAUUAAUAUUUUAAUGGUGAAUGAAUAUUUAAUCCAAAACUCUGGAUGGAAGGCAAACAAGACAACCGUGGCAGGAACAGUUACACUACCCGGUUAAGGAUGCUAAUGACUCAUUGGAUUUGUCAGUGGUAAUAAUGCCACACAAUUUAUAAACUAUAUAGUUCCUUUAACAUACUGGUAAACACUCCUCAGAAUCAAAAUCAGGACAAGUUUUUUUUAUUCUUUGAGACGCAGCAUGAUGUAUUGGUUGGAGCAACUAUUUGCAAUCAGGGGAGCCUGGUCUUGGAUACCAAGGCUUUAGUUUACUGGCUGUGCAACCAUAAAUAAGUUCAAUCACCUCUUUGAGCAUUGUCAUCAAGAUAAAAUGAAUGUCUACUUUAGAGGAUUGUUGGCAGCAUACGUUAUUCACUCAAUGUUUCCUUUUUGUUCCUACUAAUUUUUGCAAUAUGGUGGAAGAAAACAAAACAAAACUGUGGCUGAAAUUUCUCUUAAUUUAGCUCUAAGUCUACUUCUUUGAGAUAGGACAUAAAAUUUCCAUUUUUCUAUUUCCCCUGAAUACUUGUAUGUGUCUUUCAUCAUUUCUCUUCAGUGGAAAUUUCUGUAAAUAGUUGGAGAAAACUAUCUCGCUAAUUAAAAACCCAGUUGUAUCUAUGACCACUAAAAUUAAAUUACAAUACAUUGACAAUACCUGUUUUUUAAAUGCAUUAAGAUGUCUCCAUAUGGUCCCACUGUUAAUGAUUAUGUUUACAAUAUAAUUGCAGAAAAUCAAUAAGCUACUCCUGGCAGGUAAUUCUACUUUGUUUCAAGGCUAGAAUAUGGCCUUGUAGUACAUGGUCCCUCUUAUCUCUCCUUUGUGGUCCUGCUGUACUUUAAUAACUUCUCUAUUCUGCCAGUUUGGACUUUCUAUAGUUUAGUAUUAAAUGCAUAGGCUUUAGAGUCCAACAGCCAUUAGAUACACAUCCUCACUGGGCUUCUUAGUAGUAGUAUAGUCUUGAGCAAGGUAAACCCCAUAGGCCAGGGGGUCCUAAGUUGUAACACUGAAGCAAUGACACCUAUCUCAUCACAUUAUGAGCAUCUAUGAAAUAUACAUAUAGAAUAAAAUAUAUCAUUCUAAGUUUCCAGCUUAGGAAACUGAGAUUUAGGGAUCAAGUAACUUACUUAAGUUGAUUCAGCAAGGACUAAAACCAAGUCUUUUUGAACUCAUUUGCUGUGCACUGAAUUUCUAUAAUACACCAAGAAGACAUACUUUCUACGUGUAAAGUUACAGUCAAAAGUUAACCACAACUCAAUGCCAUACAAUGUAUUCUGUCUAAGGGCAAUAAGCCUAAAUGGCUUUAGGUUGUAGUAUUUAAGUGUAGUGUAGUAGUUGCUCACCUCAUAUGGCCCAAUCCGGAAACCAACAAAUAGGCAAUUCACAAGAGCUAGAAAGAUUACUUUAUUGCUUCUAUUUGUUUUUUUAAUGAAUCCAGGUAUUACUGAAUUUAUCCAUCCUUUUCUCAUAUUCACUAUGAAUAAAAAGUAUUCUAAUAGUUAGAUGUUUCUUCCAAUCUUAGAUAUUGUCUUCUUCUGCUAUAUCAAUCCUAAGACUCUGAAUCUCAGUUGUUCAUUUCUUAAAGAGAAUAUGUACAGUGAUGACAUCAGGCCCUAUUUAAUUCUCACUUCUCUAAGAAAUUAACUAAGUGGGACAUUAAGAAAAGAAUUUUAAAGAUAGUCUAGAUGGAAAACCCCAAUGACUCUACAAAAGUACUCCCAGACUGUAGGAUACAAAGUAAAAAGAAAAGAAAAUCAAUAAUAUUUCUACCUUCUAGAAAUGAACAAUUAGAAACUCAAGUUUAAAACAAAAUACUACCUAUCAUAGUUCAAAAAAAAACCUGAAGUUUUAGGUUUAAGUCCCUGGUAUAAAUCUAAUGAAACAGAUGGACACAGUGGCUCACACUUGUAAUCUCAGCACUUUGGGAGGCUGAGGUGGGCAGAUCACGAGGUCAGGAAAUCGAGACCACCCUGGCCAACAUGGUGAAAGUCCGUCUCUACUAAAAAUACAAAAAUUAGCUGGGAGUGUUGGCACAUGCCUGUAAUCCCAGCUCCUCAGGAGGCUGAGGCAGGAGAAUCGCUUGGACCAGGGAGUCAGAGUUUGCAAUGAGCCGAGAUCAUGCCACUGUACUCCAGCCUGGCAACAGAGCAAGACUCCAUUUCAAAAAAAAAAAAAAAAAAAAAAAAUCUAAUAAAGCACGCAUAGGAUCUUUAUUAGUACCUGAAACUACACAAAAUUUAUGAAAAAAAUGGUAAGACAUACUAUGUUCAUGAAUUGGAAAUCUCAACAAAGUAAAAAGUCAGUGAUAUGGUUUGGCUCUGUGUCCCCACCCAAAUAUCAUUUUAGAGCUCCCAUAAUUCCCACGUGUUGUGGCAGGAACAUGGUGGAAGAUAAUUGAAUCAUGAGGGUGGGUUUUUCCCAUGCUGUUCCCAUGAUAGUGAAUAAGUCUCAGAAGAUCUGAUGGUUUUAAAAAACGGGAGUUUCCCUGCACAAGCUCUCUUCUCUUGUCUGCCACCAUGUGAGAUGUAUCUUUCACUUUCUUUCAUGAUUGUGAGGCCUCUCCAGCCACCUGGAACUGUAAGUCCAACAAACCUCUUUCUUUUGUAAAUUGCCCAGUUUUGGAUAUGUCUUUAUGAGCAUGUGAAAACAGACUAAUAAACUCAGUUUUCCCCAUUUUGACCUAUUGGUUUAAUAAAUUUCUUAUUGAAUCCCAGCAGGAAUUUUUGUAGAUAUAGACAAAUUGAUUCUAAAACUUUUAUGGAAAGCC
rnacentral:lncRNA from 1 species